rnacentral:rRNA from 1 species
AAAUGAAUUGACGGGGGCCCGCACAAGCGGUGGAGCAUGUGGCUCAAUUCGAUGCAACGCGAAGAACCUUACCUGGGCUUGACAUUCAUGUGCAAUCCCUAUGAAAGUAGGGACCUUAUAGCAAUAUAACGCAUGAACAGGUGCUGCAUGGCUGUCGUCAGCUCGUGCCGUGAGGUGUACGGUUAAGUCCGGCAACGAGCGCAACCCGCGUGAUUAGUUGCCAUCAGGUAAAGCUGGGAACUCUAAUCAGACCGCCCGUGUUAAGCGGGAGGAAGGAGCGGAUGACGUCAAGUCAGUAUGGCCUUUAUGUCCAGGGCUGCACACGUGCUACAAUGGGCGGCACAAUGGGAAGCAAUACCGCGAGGUGGAGCUAAUCCACAAAACCGUCCUCAGUUCAGAUUGCAGUCUGCAACUCGACUGCAUGAAGUCGGAAUCGCUAGUAAAGGCGCAUCAGCUACGGCGCCUUGAAUACGUUCCCGGGCCUUGUACACACCGCCCGU